UGCUUCUGGGUCGGGGUUUCGUACGU
rnacentral:piRNA from 6 species